UCAUGGUUUAAAAAUAAGUCAAUGGACAGAUCCACUGCUCAUCUGCUCCAUUUAACGGAGCCAUCUCUCGGAAACACAGCAAAUUUCCUUUGAUUAGGGCUGCAUGGUCACUUACCCGUGAUACAGGCCAAGAUGCCGCUGCCCUUUACAAUAGCAGGGAUUCAUCUGCCUGCCUAAAAAGAUCAAAUCUUGGAGUCACUAGAGAAUAUGGAGGUUGAAGAAGUGGUGCAUCUGAUUAAGCUGGGAUUCAGAUAGGACAUGGAAUUCACACUGCAAUCCAGGAGCUUUGUGUCCUGGGAUUUGCACACCUUGGAUGUGUUGGGGGACACCCACACGUACCUGGAUCAACUGGGCCACCUUCUAGGCUGAGCUUGGGACCCAGGCUGUGAGCUGGACCCACCGAGAAGGUGCAGUUGCACAGCUCCAGAUGGAGGUAAGU